AUUGAACGCUAGCGGGAUGCUUUACACAUGCAAGUCGAACGAGUGGCGGACGGGUGAGUAAUAUAUCGGAACGUGCCCAGUAGCGGGGGAUAACUACUCGAAAGAGUGGCUAAUACCGCAUACUAUUUGAGCGGCCGAUAUCGGAUUAGCUAGUGGGGGGGUAAAAGGCUCACCAAGGCAAAGAUCCGUAGCUGGUUUGAGAGGACGACCAGCCACACUGGGACUGAGACAGGGCCCAGACUCCUACGGGAGGCAGCAGGGGGGAAGUUUGGACAAUGGGGGAAACCCUGAUCCAGCCAUCCCGCGUGUAUGAGAAGGCCUUCGGGUUGGAAAGUACUGUUGGCAGAGAAGCGGUAUCUGCAGAAUAAGCACCGGCUAACUACGUGCCAGCAGCCGCGGUAAUAC
rnacentral:rRNA from 1 species